rnacentral:lncRNA from 1 species
GUCCUGAUCUGAUUCUAAUGAAGAAUCAUGAUCCAUGAUUGUCAGACAGCGUACUGGCACCCACCUUAAUCAGACCAUGAAUCUUUAAAUUUGAUCAUCCAUGAUUCCGAUCUAGCCAUGACUUGAUUUGAUCACGUUGAUUUCACCAAUCAAGAUAUUGGACCCAUCGUAACGUUGGAUUGUGUCACCUGAUCAAUUCGAAUUGUACCUCAUGAAUUCUCUCUCCUUUGAUUUUCUCUCUCCACUUGAUUUUAUGAAAUCGAUGAAGAAACCUCGGUCCUAUCACUUCGAAUCUGAUUUGAUCUGAUAGUCAAACUUUGGAUCAUUUAGGUCCUAAUUAGAUUUUGAUUAGAUGAAAUUAGAUGAUCGGACCCAAUCCAAGCCGUUGAAAUAUGGUAUUCGUAUUCCUUCUAAUUAUUGAAAUUGAUUCUGUAUAGGAUUGUGGAUAUUUGACCAUGGGAUAUCGCAAUAUGAUCUACGAACAAAAUUUUGGAAGA